rnacentral:rRNA from 1 species
UGGGGAAUCUUGCGCAAUGGGCGAAAGCCUGACGCAGCAACGCCGCGUGAGGGACGAAUGUUCUUUGAAUUGUAAACCUCUUUCAGCAGGGACGAUAAUGACGGUACCUGCAGAAGAAGCACCGGCCAACUACGUGCCAGCAGCCGCGGUGAUACGUAGGGUGCAAGCGUUGUCCGGAUUUAUUGGGCGUAAAGGGCUCGUAGGCGGUUCGACAAGUCGGGUGUGAAACCCCCAGGCUCAACCUGGGGACGCCACUCGAAACUGUCGUGACUAGAGUUUGGUAGGGGAUCACGGAAUUCCUGGUGUAGCGGUGGAAUGCGCAGAUAUCAGGAGGAACACCAGUAGCGAAGGCGGUGAUCUGGGCCAAUACUGACGCUGAGGAGCGAAAGCGUGGGGAGCAAACAGG